AAAUGCCUUUUGGAUAAAACAUAUUUUGACCUAAGUCAGAUAACAUUGCAAAGGCAGUUGCAUUUGACUGUUGAAGUUGUUCAUUUAAGCUUUGGGCUAAAGGAUUCAUUAUUGCUUAACCUCUCUUUAAAAAAUUGUAUGCCUAUAUAUUAUCUUCAAUUAUACCAAAGAUAAAGUGUUGUUGGUGAAUUAACGAAUAAUAUGUAAAAUCUGCUGCCAAAAUACGAACAUAUGUUCUGUUUUUAUGUUAGAAUAGGUG
rnacentral:sRNA from 1 species